UGGCGCCAUGACUGGGCUCCAAGAUGGAUUGAUAACAGCACAAGGUCAGCUUCAAGCCGGCGUUUCAACUGUUGUUUGGUCCCGUGGACACUGCCAGGCACGCUGCCUCGUACAGGAAUGCUUUGAAGAUGCUGAGCAAAAGGGUAUAAAAGAAGAACGAAGCAGAUAACAGGGCACACUUGAAAAAUGAGAAAUCAUUCUGACAAGAACCGCUACUGCGCCCGGCUGAUCUUCUGGUGAACAGAUCCAUGCCUUGAGACGCUGACAAGACUGAGGUUGCCUCUUUGCCUGUAUGGGUGAGAUACUACCACUUUUACAGCUAAAUAUACUGGACUGUGCUUUGCUUUAGGUUCAUUAUUUGGGGAAUAGUUGUAGUAAAUAAAGCCUUUCCAUUGUUUAUCGAA